UGAACUCAACAGGGAGUUGGAGCAUUGAA
rnacentral:piRNA from 1 species